rnacentral:rRNA from 1 species
GUACGGGAGGCAGCAGACGGCAAUGCAAGCCAGGAGUGACAGCCCGGGGCCCAACCCCGGGACUGCUCUUGGAACUGCAUGGCUGGAGUACAGGAGGGGCAGGCGGAAUUCCUAGUGUAGCGGUGAAAUGCGUAGAUAUUAGGAGGAACACCGGUGGCGAAGGCGGCCUGCUGGACUGUGACUGACGUUGAGGCCCGAAGGCGUGGGGAGCAAACAGGAUUAGAAACCCUAGUAGUCCUCAU